rnacentral:rRNA from 1 species
CAGCCUGCCCAGUGACACAACUGUUAAACGGCCGCGGUACUCUGACCGUGCGAAGGUAGCAUAAUCACUUGUUCUUUAAAUGGGGACUAGUAUCAACGGUGCCACGAGGGCUUCCCUGUCUCCUUUUUCCAAUCAGUGAAACUGAUCUCCCUGUGAAGAAGCAGGGAUACUAAUAUAAGACGAGAAGACCCCAUGGAGCUUUAAACUCAACAGACAACCCGACACAUAUUUUUUCAUCUUAGUCAUCAAAAAGCCAUGUUUGUUAGUUUUAGGUUGGGGUGACCAUGGAGUAAAACUUAACCUCCACGACGCACGGGACUUGCUACUCCCUUAUCCAAGAGCCACGACUCUAAGAAUUAAAAUAUUAACGUAAAAUGAUCCAAGCAUUUGAUCAACGGACCAAGUUACCCUGGGGAUAACAGCGCAAUCCAUUUCGAGAGCUCCUAUCGACAAGUGGGUUUACGACCUCGAUGUUGGAUCAGGGUAUCCCAGUGGUGCAGCCGCUACUAAUGGUUUGUUUGUUCAACAAUUAAAACCCUACGUGAUCUGA